rnacentral:lncRNA from 1 species
CCACAGUUCCUACUCGAUCAAAGAUUUUGAAUGACCCAAUUAAUCGAGGAUUGAGCUUUCCUCUCUUUCAAAAUCUUGCAACUCCUUUCCAUGGAGCAACACGUAACAACACAUAAUCUCCAACAUUGAACUCCACGUCCUUUCGAUGAAGAUCAGCAUAACUCUUUUGUCGAUCUUGUGAGGUUUUUAUACGUUGUUGGAUCAUUUGAAUCUUUUUCGUAG